GGCCCCCUGGUGCUUACCACAGGCUGUGUUCUUAUACUGAUAUAUAGAAAGAGGAGGUGGAGUAAACCUAUUCUAUAUACACCUCAGCCCAGGCCCUGUGCUUGGUCUGUAUUGUGAAUGGAGAAACAUGG